rnacentral:rRNA from 1 species
CCUACGGGUGGCAGCAGUGGGGAAUAUUGCACAAUGGGGGAAACCCUGAUGCAGCAACGCCGCGUGAGUGAAGAAGUAUUUCGGUAUGUAAAGCUCUAUCAGCAGGGAAGAAGAUGACGGUACCUGAGUAAGACGCCCCGGCUAACUACGUGCCAGCAGCCGCGGUCAUACGGAGGGGGCAAGCGUUAUCCGGAUUUACUGGGUGUAACGGGAGCGCAGACGGUGAGACAAGUCUGAAGUGAAAGCCCGGGGCUAAACCCCGGGACUGCUUUGGAAACUGCCUGACUGGAGUGCGGGAGAGGCAGGAGGAAUGCGUGGUGUAGCGGUGAAAUGCGUAGAUAUUAGGAAGAACACCGGUUGCGAAGGCGGCUUGCUGGACAGUAACUGACGUUGAGGCUCGAAAGCGUGGGGAGCAAACAGGAUUAGAUACCCUUGUAGUC